rnacentral:rRNA from 1 species
AUGCCCCCCUCUGGACCCCGUCUUCACAGGCUGUGGUGGAGGGGCGACCGUCGGAGCAUUCUUCCUCCUCCCACGGCGUGUAAUCAUCUGGGCCUCCACAUCGUCUUCCUUCUCCAGUUCAGGAGGCUCCGUGUCCUCCUUCCGCGUCACCAGCAGGGCUUCCUCCUCCUCAUCUCCUUUCUCCGACUCAGCAGCUGCUGUGGUCUUCUUCCGCCCGCCAGCACGCGGCGCCAGCGGGGCCUCCUCCUUCUCCGGUUCAGAGGGCUCCGCGGCCUUCUUCCGUCCACCACGGCGCCUCCCCUUCGGGGCCUCCUUCUUCCCCUCUUCCUCCUCCUCAUCUCCUUUCUCCGGCUCAGCAGCUGCUGUGGUCUUCUUCCGCCCGCCAACAGGCGGCGCCAGCGGGGCCUCCUCCUUCUCCGGUUCAGAGGGCUCCGCGACCUUCUUCCGUCCACCACGGCGCCUCCCCACCGGGGCCUCCUUCUCCCCAUCUUCCCUCUGUUCAGGGGGAGCCACUGCAGCCACCUUCCUAGGUCCGCCCCGGCGGGGCUUCUCCUCCUCCACUACCACUACCGCCGCGUCCGGCACUUCAUUCUCCACUUCGGGGAUCGCCGCCACCGCUGCCUUCUUCCGUGUGCCCCGGCGGGUCGCCGCAGGGGGCUUCUCCUCCUCCACCGCCGCCGUCUCCGCCGCAUAGCGCGAGGAGCGCCUAGUUCCGGGGUCGGCAGCGGUGGCGGUGCUCAGAUCCGAAUGGGAGGGGAUGGACACGGCGAGCACGGUGGACUCGCCGAUCUUGAUCAGGUUCCCAUGGGAAAGCGGGGUGAGAACAAAGGGCUCGAGGGGCACAUCGUUGAGGAAGGAGCCGUUGGAGGAUCCCAGAUCGGAGACGACCCAUCCGGCGGCGGGCGGCGGGAGGAACUCGAUGGAGAGAUGUUGCUGCGACGCGCCCUUAUCGCGCACGGCAAAGUGGUUGCCUUUGAUGACGCGCCCGACACGGAGCACGGAUCCAGCGCUGCACUGGCAGAUCUCUCCCUUGCGCGGACCCUUCUCCACCGCAAGGGUGAGCACCGGCGGCGGAGCGGCCAUUUGGGGGCUUUGGGGGAGUGA